UGGGGAAUUUUGGACAAUGGGCGAAAGCCUGAUCCAGCAAUGCCGCGUGUGUGAAGAAGGCCUUCGGGUUGUAAAGCACUUUUGUCCGGAAAGAAAUCCUUGGCUCUAAUACAGUCGGGGGAUACGGUACCGGAAGAAUAAGCACCGGCUAACUAAGUGCCGCAGCCGCGGUAAUACGUAGGGUGCAAGCGUUAAUCGGAAUUACUGGGCGUAAAGCGUGCGCAGGCGGUUUGCUAAGACCGAUGUGAAAUCCCCGGGCUCAACCUGGGAACUGCAUUGGUGACUGGCAGGCUAGAGUAUGGCAGAGGGGGGUAGAAUUCCACGUGUGAGCAGUGAAAUGCGUAGAGAUGUGGAGGAAUACCGAUGGCGAAGGCAGCCCCCUGGGCCAAUACUGACGCUCAUGCACGAAAGCGUGGGGAGCAAACAGGA
rnacentral:rRNA from 1 species